AACGAACGCUGGCGGCAUGCCUAACACAUGCAAGUCGAACGAGACCUGCGGGUCUAGUGGCUCACGGGUGCGUAACGCGUGGGAACCUGCCCUUAGGUUCGGAAUAACUCCCCGAAAGGGGUUCUAAUACCGGAUAAUGUCUUCGGACCAAAGAUUUAUCGCCUUUGGAUGGGCCCGCGUUGGAUUAGCUAGUUGGUAGGGUAAAAGCCUGCCAAGGCGACGAUCCAUAGCUGGUCUGAGAGGAUGAUCAGCCACACUGGGACUGAGACACGGCCCAGACUCCUACGGGAGGCAGCAGUGGGGAAUAUUGGACAAUGGGCGAAAGCCUGAUCAAGCAAUGCCGCGUGAGUGAUGAAGGCCUUAGGGUUGUAAAGCUAUUUUACCCGGGAUGAUAAUGACAGUACCGGGAGAAUAAGCUCCGGCUAACUCCGUG
rnacentral:rRNA from 1 species